ensembl:rRNA 5S_rRNA 5S ribosomal RNA
GUCUAUAGCCAUAGCACUCUGAACAUGCCUGAUCUCAUCUGAUCUCAGAAGCUAAGCAGGAUUGGGCCUGGUUAGUACUUGGCUAGGAGAAAAAGAGAGAGAACAAAACACCCUGUCCC